GGCAUUGUAGCUCAGCUGGUAGAGUAUUCGCGGUAUUAAAGCGAGGGUGGUGACCAUGCGCGGGUUCGAAUCCCGCCGGGGCCA
rnacentral:tRNA from 1 species